AAGACCGUACUUUUUAGGAUCAUUUCUAUAGUACGCGUACUUCCUUUGCUUCACAGCAAAGCGAAACACAACAGCUAUGAUGAUGAGCUGCAGUGUUUCUCUCUGAGCGGGAAGUUCGGGACCUGAUACCGUUGCGGUGAGGGAACCAUUGAUGACCGUUCCUCCAGAGGACUUUUGUUUUCUGGUGGAGGAGAGAAACGCCAGCUGAGUAGC
rnacentral:snoRNA from 1 species